rnacentral:lncRNA from 1 species
UGAGACUGAGAGUGAACCUGAUCAUAAGUUGAUACUAGCAUGCCCUUGUUCCAACAACAUUCUCAUUCCGACGUCCGACCAACCUUGAACAACUAAUCUACUACUACUCCCCUAGAAUUACAAGAGGAACAGAGGAGAGGAGAGGAAGGAAGACAAGGGUCCAUGCAUGAAAGCGACGGCCAUCUUACCAAAUUACGGAGCAAGAGAUCAAGGGACACAAAAGGCACCAAACCAUGUGCAUGCCAUUGACACACCGUCAGAUAUAUCAGGUUUUUCUUCCUUUGUCCUUGGAUCAGGCUAGCCCUGCAACAAGCUUACCAAAGCGGUUUCUUUCUUCUACCCAGGGCGAAUGUGAGCGAGUGAUCGAACUUCACGCGAAUGCCAGGAAGGAGAGGAGCACGGCGAGGAAGGCAGGCGCUCCGGACCUUGGAUGCAACCCCGCCGCUGCCGUGUCCAUGUUGCUCGUGCCUGUUGGACCCAGGCCGCCGAACCCGGUGGUGGUGUCCGUCCCCGUGCCGGUUCCUCCCAUGCCACCGGUGCUAGUGCCGGCACCGGGCGUGAAGGUGCCUGGGGUUCCCCCUGUUGUGCCUCCGAUCCCAGUCCCAGUCCCGGUCGGGGUCGUUGAUGUUCCAGCAGCACUGUGCAAUGAAGAAAGAAGAAGUGGUUA